AACGAACGCUGGCGGCAUGCCUAACACAUGCAAGUCGAACGAGACCUUCGGGUCUAUUGGCGCACGGGUGCUUAACGCGUGGGAACCUGCCCUUAGGUUCGGAAUAACUCCCCGAAAGGGGUGCUAAUACCGGAUAAUGUCUUCGGACCAAAGAUUUAUCGCCAUUGGAUGGGCCCGCGUUGGAUUAGCUAGUUGGUAGGGUAAAAGCCUACCAAGGCGACGAUCCAUAGCUGGUCUGAGAAGAUGACCAGCCACACUGGGACUGAGACACGGCCCAGAAUCCUACGGGAGGCAGCAGUGGGGAAUAUUGGACGCUGGGCGAAAGCCUGAUGCAGCAAUGCCGCGUGAGUGAUGAAGGCGUUAGGGUUGUAAAGCUCUUUUACCCGGGAUGAUAAUGACAGUACCGGGAGAAUAAGCUCCGGCUAACUACGUG
rnacentral:rRNA from 1 species